rnacentral:lncRNA from 1 species
GCCCCUGUGAAUUUUUUAAAUAUGAAAGUUUUUGUACAAUAAAAUUGAUUUUUAGAUAAUUGAAGAAUAAUAUAGCCGUCUUAGUGGGUUUAUAUGAACAUUUAGAUUGUUUUUAACAUGUUUUAUAGGCCAUUUAUAUGAUUGACAGUCCGUAUUUUCCUAUCCGUACCGUCCAUAGGUCCAUACAUUAUUGUAGUGUUUAUCAACAAAGAUUUUGCGCUCGAUCUUUUCAAUUCAAUUUUAUGGAAAAAACGAGCAGAUAAGCAUAUGAUUUUUUUUGGACCACUUGAUAGAUAUAAACCUAUGGAUUCAGGAAAGGUAUCACUGUAAUUGAUUGAAAUUUUCCUUUAGACCAAAUUUUGGAGACUUUUGUGACAUGUUCACCCCCUUUUUUGCUAUAUUUUGUAUCUAAGAAAUGCAGAUUGUUGCCAUGGUUACACCCAAAAGGGAUUAUAUUUCACCCUUAUGACCAUUAGAAAUCAAAUCUAUGGAAGAUUCUCUUUCUAUAAGUAUAUACAUGCAUAACACACAUAUAAAGCCUUCUUUGUUAGACAGGAGGGGAAAGAGGGUGUUUAAAAAUUAUGAGUGUCAAUUUUAAGUUUUUUUCCUAACUGUGUAUUGCUACCUUAUGGCAUUUGACAAAGCAAAGAAUUGCUUUUUUUUAGACAAAUCAUACCACAAAUCUAUUGAUAUUUAGGUUAUAGAUACAAUUCUGAGGAAGAAACAACCUUUAGUAAGACAAUAUAUGUUAGUUUUGUUGUUUAUUGUCCUUAGCAACCAAUAUAGACAUUUUGACACAAAGACUUGGUUCCGUCAUAAAUUGAUACUUUAUUGGCUACCCCUUGGAAAAGAAGAUUGCGCGUUAUGUAGAAACCUUAGAAGGGAACGCUUUAUAUUUUUUCAUGCGACUAAAUCAAAUUUAUUAUUUUAGCAAGUAUAAAGUCACAAUUUAGCAUGAAUUAAGCCUAAAUUUUUUCCCGCUGUUAUAAAUAAAUUCAGUAUUUACUAAAUUUUAACCAAGGCUUUGGUAUGGUAAUACACAACAAAAUUGACAUUCUAGAGCUUUAAAAUAGCUUUAACUUGUAAAAUUUGUCUACUGUUAAGGUUAAUUUAAGUUUUUUAAACAAGAAAAGACAGGCUUAGAAGGUAUAGUUUUUAGAAAUUUGACUAAAAAAGGAGAAAAUGCACUUUGACAUGGCAUGUUUCAUAAAAUCACUUUUUUGUUGCAUUUCAGUGUCAACUGCUAACCUUCAUAAAAUAUUUAUUUCUGAACCGAUUUUCAAAACUAGCAGGCCAAUUUGCUCGUUUUAGCUAGUAGAAAACAGAAAUCCAUUUAAAGUGGAAUUGGGAAAAAAAAUGUUAAUCCUUAAGGUAGCAAUACACAGUUAGAAGUUUAGUUUCGCAUUAUGGCCCCUGUGAAUUUUUUAAAUAUGAAAGUUUUUGUACAAUAAAAUUGAUUUUUAGAUAAUUGAAGAAUAAUAUAGCCUUCUUAGUGGGUUUAUAUGAACAUUUAGAUUGUUUUUAACAUGUUUUAUAGGCCAUUUAUAUGAUUGACAGUCCGUAUUUUCCUAUCCGUACCGUUCAUAGGUCCAUAAAUUAGUGUAGUGUUUAUCAACAAAGAUUUUGCGCUCGAUCUUUUCAAUUCAAUUUUAUGGAAAAACGAGCAGAAA